rnacentral:rRNA from 1 species
CUUCGGGGGGCUGCAGUGAGGAAUUUUGCGCAAUGGGGGCAACCCUGACGCAGCAACGCCGCGUGAGUGAAGAAGGCCUUUGGGUCGUAAAGCUCUGUCAAUUGGGAAGAAGUUACUGUUGUUUAAUAGAUGACGGUAUUGACGGUACCAAUGGAGGAAGCGCCGGCUAACUCCGUGCCAGCAGCCGCGGUAACACGGGGGGCGCAAGCGUUAUUCGGAAUUAUUGGGCGUAAGGGCGCGUAGGCGGUCUUAUCGGUCAGAUGUGAAAGCCCGGGGCUCAACCCCGGACGUGCAUUUGAAACAGUAAGACUUGAGUACGGGAGAGGAAAGCGGAAUUCCUGGUGUAGAGGUGAAAUUCGUAGAUAUCAGGAGGAACACCGAUGGCGAAGGCAGCUUUCUGGACCGAUACUGACGCUGAGGCGCGAAGGCGUGGGUAGCGAACGGGAUUAGAUACCCCAGUAGUC